rnacentral:tRNA from 1 species
GCCGAUGUAGCUCAGUUGGUAGAGCACCUGACUUGUAAUCAGGGGGUCGCGAGUUCGAUUCCUGCCGUCGGCGCCA